AUGCAGCUCCCCCGAGCCUCCUCCCGGUGCUCUCCCCCGCGCAGCUCCCCUGUUCUUUCCUCCGGACCAAAAAUCACUUCUUUCCAUCUCGAUCUAGAGGGCAUGGGGAUGAGGGCGGCGACAAGCGUGCCUGUUGCCGCGGUGAGCUCGGUACUCUUCGCCAGAUCCCUUCCCCAGACUCCGCUCCCGACAACAGCUCAUUGCUGGGGCUUCCCCCCAUGGACGAGGAGGAGGAGGACGAGUGCUGCCCGGCAGAGUUCUUCCAGCUGCUUCCUGGAGCGGUCCAGGGAGAUGGGCAGCUCUCCUACUGCUGGUGCGGCAGUUCUGCCCGAUGGACUUCUUCCAGCCGUCCUGGGCUGCAUUAGCUGGUGGUGGCAGGGCUUCAUCGGGCGGAGCUGCAAGUACAGAUAA
rnacentral:rRNA from 1 species